ncrna:unclassified sequences S15-Flavobacteria ribosomal protein leader
UAUAUUUGCCAACAAAUUCGGUUACAUAAAAAUCAUUAAGUUUAAUAUUGGCAUG